CCCUUAGAUGUUCUGGGCCGCACGCGCGCUACACUGUUCGACGCAGCGAGUCUUAACCUUGACCGAAAGGUUUGGGUAAUCUUCAGCAAAGUCGAACGUGAUGGGGAUCGAUCAUUGCAAUUAUUGAUCGUGAACGAGGAAUUCCUAGUAAGUGCAAGUCAGCAGCUUGCGCUGAUUACGUCCCUGCCCUUUGUACACACCGCCCGUCGCUACUACCGAUUGAAUGGUUUAGUGAGAUCUCUGGAUUGACGCUGGCUAGGGGGCGACCCUUGGCCAGACUGUUGAGAAACUGCUCAAACUUGAUCAUUUAGAGGAAGUAAAAGUCGUAACA
rnacentral:rRNA from 1 species